rnacentral:rRNA from 1 species
UACGGAAGGCAGCAGUGGGGAAUAUUGCACAAUGGGCGCAAGCCUGAUGCAGCCAUGCCGCGUGUAUGAAGAAGGCCUUCGGGUUGUAAAGUACUUUCAGUCGUGAGGAAGGUGUUAAGGUUAAUAACCUUAGCAAUUGACGUUAGCGACAGAAGAAGCACCGGCUAACUCCGUGCCAGCAGCCGCGGUAAUACGGAGGGUGCGAGCGUUAAUCGGAAUUACUGGGCGUAAAGGGCACGCAGGCGGUUAAUUAAGUUGGAUGUGAAAUCCCCGGGCUUAACCUGGGAAUGGCAUUCAAGACUGGUUAGCUAGAGUCUUGUAGAGGGGGUAGAAUUCCAUGUGUAGCGGUGAAAUGCGUAGAGAUGUGGAGGAAUACCGAUGGCGAAGGCAGCCAUCUGGCCUAAUACUGACGCUGAGGUACGAAAGCAUGGGGAGCAAACAGGAUUAGAUAACC